UGUUACCUACGGGAGGCAGCAGUGAGGAAUAUUGGUCAAUGGGAGAGAUCCUGAACCAGCCAAGCCGCGUGAGGGAAGACGGCCCUAUGGGUUGUAAACCUCUUUUGUCGGAGAACAAAACCCGGGACGUGUCCCGGACUGCGUGUAUCCGAAGAAAAAGCAUCGGCUAACUCCGUGCCAGCAGCUGCGGUAAUACGGAGGAUGUGAGCGUUAUCCGGAUUUAUUGGGUUUA
rnacentral:rRNA from 1 species